UUUUUAUUAUUCUGUGUCAUGAUGCCUCCGUUAUUAGCCUUUUAUCGUCUUGUUUAUAUUUUUUGGGCCCGCCGGGGGGCGGGCUUUUUUU
rnacentral:sRNA from 1 species